CCUACGGGUGGCAGCAGUGAGGAAUAUUGGUCAAUGGCCGAGAGUCUGAACCAGCCAAGUAGCGUGAAGGAUGACUGCCCUAUGGGUUGUAAACUUCUUUUAUAAAGGAAUAAAACGAGCCACGUGUGCCUUUUUGCAUGUACUUUAUGAAUAAGGAUCGGCUAACUCCGUGCCAGCAGCCGCGGUAAUACGGAGGAUCCGAGCGUUAUCCGGAUUUAUUGGGUUUAAAGGGAGCGUAGAUGGGUUGUUAAGUCAGUUGUGAAAGUUUGCGGCUCAACCGUAAAAUUGCAAUUGAUACUGGCAGUCUCGAGUACAGUUGAGGUAGGCGGAAUUCGUGGUGUAGCGGUGAAAUGCUUAGAUAUCACGAAGAACCCCGAUUGCGAAGGCAGCUUACUAAACUGUGACUGACAUUGAUGCUCGAAAGUGUGGGUAGCAAACAGGAUUAGAUACCCGUGUAGUC
rnacentral:rRNA from 1 species